AUUAAAUCUCCAUCGUCAGAUACCAGUAUGUCGACAAUGUAUUAAAAUAUAAUAAAAUCUGUGCAAUAAAAUUCAUGUCAUUAGUGAUUAGUCUAGUCCUCAUCAUGAAGCUGCUGCUGUAAAAACCAAAUAUUCUCUUCAUUCCACACCGUCUCCAUCGAGGACUCUCCACCACCACCAACCGACCAACCAUUGCUAUGCUCCUCCAAUUCAUCUGUACC